rnacentral:misc_RNA from 1 species
UACGGUAAAGUUAACGGAUC